rnacentral:rRNA from 1 species
GAUGAACGCUAGCGGGAGGCCUAACACAUGCAAGCCGAGCGGUAUUGUUUCUUCGGAACUGAGAGAGCGGCGUACGGGUGCGUAACACGUGUGCAACCUGCCUUUAUCUGGGGGAUAGCCUUUCGAAAGGAAGAUUAAUACUCCAUAAUAUAUUGAACGGCAUCGUUUAAUAUUGAAAGCUCCGGCGGAUAGAGAUGGGCACGCGCAAGAUUAGCUAGUUGGUGAGGUAGCGGCUCACCAAGGCGAUGAUCUUUAGGGGGCCUGAGAGGGUGAUCCCCCACACUGGUACUGAGACACGGACCAGACUCCUACGGGAGGCAGCAGUGAGGAAUAUUGGUCAAUGGGUGCAAGCCUGAACCAGCCAUCCCGCGUGAAGGACGACUGCCCUAUGGGUUGUAAACUUCUUUUGUAUAGGGAUAAACCUACCCUCGUGAGGGUAGCUGAAGGUACUAUACGAAUAAGCACCGGCUAACUCCGUG